rnacentral:rRNA from 1 species
ACGUAGGGGGCAAGCGUUGUCCGGAGUUACUGGGCGUAAAGCGCACGCAGGCGGUCCGUUAAGUUUGGAGUGACAGUUGGUGGCUCAACCACCAAAGUGCUUUGAAAACUGACAGACUUGAGGGCUUCAGAGGGACACGGAAUUCCGGGUGGAGUGGUGAAAUGCGUAGAGAUCCGGAGGAACACCAAAGGCGAAGGCAGUGUCCUGGGGAGUACCUGACGCUCAGGUGCGAAAGCCAGGGGAGCGAACGGGA